UACUGAUAGUGUUAUGAGCACAUAUCUGUAACUCGACACGAUUGGAAAACAUAUUUUUUUGGAAAUAAUACGGAUUUUUGUAAGUAUUUAUUAUUUCUGCUUGUAAAAAACCAAAUAACGUUAACCCUAAUGGUGGUGCCAAGGCACGUGUGGCACCUACCGUGCGCACGCCUAUGACUACUGACAGAAGAACUGACCUACUUUCCUAAAGAAUUUUUGCUGGUGUAUGCAGCCAAUCAAAUAAAGUGGGUAUUCGAAUACUUACCUGCCAACCUGAAAAAUGAUCCGGACAUAGUGGAUUGUCUGCCGUGCACCGAGUGUUACGCGAAUUUCGGAUAUGCUACUUAAUUAAAGGGAUAUAAAACUGUUACUUAUAGUUCGGACGGAUAUGUUGUGUUCUCCGAACAGUGUAAUGAUGACCGUCAUGUUGGUUAUUUACAUGGAGAGAAAUCAGCAAUAAAAAUAUUUGAAACUAAAAUGUGUGAUUCUUCAAAAUGCCCUGUUUUUAAUAUUAAUUCUUCAAGUAAUGUACCUAAUACAGAAACAAGUUCUACAGAAAUUAAUUGUUUUUAAACGAUGAGUCAUACAGACAGGAUUUAGCCUGUCAUGAUUAUGUAAAGGCCGUAUGGUAUGUGUAAAAACUGAUCAGUACGAGUUUGGAAGCUUCAGCAUGCAGACGUUUCAUCCUGCUAAUCCGUACGUCAGUGUGAAACAAGCUUUAUCCCAGGUAAGCUAUUCUUACUGGAAUGGCGGUGAUUUAAAAUGCUAUACGGAAACAUGUGACGGACUAUUUCAUACUAUAGUUUCCGAUGACUUGAAUUCGUACGAACUUUGUCAAAAUAUUGUUAGCUGUCAAAUUUAUGGACAAUGCCCUGUUUAUUACAUGAGGGAAAAAACUGUACUGCCGAGUUCUAUCGAUCAAGUAAUUGAGUUUGCUAAGAAUCAAGAAAGACUACCUCUUCAUUCGCCCGAGUGUGUUACUAUAAAAUUUUACAAUCCUGCAACAAACUGUAUUACUACGAGUGAAAUUGGUAUUCAAACCACGAAAAAUCAAAUUUCCAACGUGCGAAAAGUGUACCAGAAAGUAAAAAAUCCUCGCAAGCCUGCUAAAAACAAUUUUAAAACUACAAGUACUAUCUUCGAACCAACGAGCAAGCAUACUGUGGAUGUUCAACGGAUUGUACGCGGUGAAAAGCAAACGAUUUUAAAAAGUAUGUCGGAGAUAAUAAAUGUAGAAUAAAUUUUUCAUGUUAUAGUUUUGUAAUGUGCUCUUACUUUUAAUAAAUGUAUUAAACUUACCUUAUGUACUUUUUAUUUAUUUCCUUACAUAUCUAUAAUGGGUAUUUAGCUGUAUGUUCCUCGAAAGCAGCUUGACGCCACGAAGUCGCAGACCUGUUGUAACAAGUGCGCCAUGACUGCAGCUCGAGUGCUUGGACUGCUGACGACUAACGGGUCUGUUGUCGCAGACCAUUACUGCUACCUGAGUGCCUCAUGGCGCCACAAAGUCGGGCGACUGAUGGACCUGAUGUGACAUGCACGGCCAAGUCUAUUGUCCGGUUCCCCUCGACACUGCGAGACAACAUUCCUGAGUGAUGAGUCACGAUGCAGGCAGUGCCUCGCGACCUAAUCUCUAAUCACCUAGGUCAUGAGUGGUUUUACCCGACUCGUGAGUUGUAGGAUAUCUGCUCCACACCUCUCACAGACCUGCCACGACCUGCACAUGAGUCAUGUUGGGUUUUUCCGAAGAUGAUGAUGCUACUCCACAUUCCUAUCUUUCCAUGUACUGCGUUCCUAUUGGUGGAUACAACAGAAAUACUCUGUUCCUAAUGGUUUUUCCAAGAACAUGCAGGUGCGAGACUAUAAAAGGGCAGGAUUAGCUGUCGGAGCUUCAGUGUGUUUUUAGAGAUUGAGUGAGUUAGUUCGUGUGUGAGUUUCGCUGCUACCACGAUUCCUACCGCCAACGCUACAUCAUUUUUUGCAUCUCCACUUCAUCAUUUUCUGAGUUCUCCGUAGGUCGAGCUUCCUUCGCGUGUUCCGUACGUCGAGAUUGGACUACCGAUUGCUGUGAUGGCAUCUACCGUGCAGAAAUGUCGUUUCUGCCCUGCUACCUUCACGGCAGGCAACAACCGCUACCGUCACGAAUGUCAGUGUGCUGACAAUCAGCAACGUGGCUUCCAGCAGUGCCAUCUGUGUGGCAAGAUGGUUGCACGCAGCGACAAGAUGCAGCAGCACCUGUCAACAUGUGCUGGAGCUGUCGCCACAACAUCAGGCAUACGGUGCAGUUUCUGCUAUAAGGCCUUCGAAAACUCCAGCCAUGCCAGACGGCAUGAGAAGUCGGCUUGCGGUCUGAACCCAACCACAUAGCACAUUCCUGCGCGAACUGUGCUAAGGAGUUCGCCAAAGCUGUCACUCUUCGCCACCACAUUAAGGUGUGCAAGGGACCUGCUCCGCCUCUUACAAAGAAGCAGAGGAUGGCAGCAGUUUUGCCAGCAGUACUGCUUAAACCAUCGACCAGCCGAACAAAGGUGGUGACCGGCACGGGUUUAGCCAAUACCCAUGGCUUCAUUACUGCUGAAGUAGGAUUAAAGGGUAACUUGAAGACUUACGUUGCUGUAAAUACAUCAAGUACUGCCAAGGAUAUCUGUACUUACCUGGACUCCAUCAAGAACAAAAUAAUAAUCCAGCUCAUGGAGGAGAUUGAAGAGAACGGUCCUCUCAAAUUCAAUAUCGUGCUCGAGUGCGACUAUGAAAAACCAGUAGAAGCCAGUGAAGACAAGAGAACCUUCAAAACCAUAAAUGUUUGCCCUCUACGCAGUUCAUGAGGUGGAGGAGGCAGUUACCGAGUCCAUCUCUAAGAUCUGCAAGGAGGAGGAAGAUUACAUGGGUAAGGGGUCCGGAUGGACUUUGUCGGCCAUUAAGCGACUACAGUUGAAAAUCAACAAGCUCGAUUCACUCCGUGCCAGCUCCUACAUUGAACUGCCUACUUCCAUCAAAGACAAAUACGCAGUGAUCAAUCCGCAAAACCUCGAAGACCACAUGUGCUUUAAGUGGGCGAUUUUUGUGAAGUACGUGGAAGGUGAGCAUCCUGAACGUGUCAAACAGCACUACCAUGACUUGGAGGGGAAGUUCAACUUCAACAACAUUGACUUCCCUACUCCAAUCAAGCAAAUACCAUUGUUUGAAAAACAGAACCCCGAAGUCUCCAUCAACAUUUACAGUAUCUACGAGAAUCUGAAUGUUGUUCCUGCACGAGUCGCUCCUGAAGAAAAAGAACAUCAUUUCGAUCUUCUGCUCUUGGUCAAUGACAAUUAGUCCCAUUUCGCCUACAUCACUAAUUUUUAUGCUCUGGUUCGGUCCCAACUCACUACACACACUGAGGCUAUUCAUGUUUGCAAAAGAUGCUUCAAGCAUUACGAUGAUCAGGAUAGGGUUAGCGGGCUCACUGGUCUCCAGUGUUUGGAAAAACACAGUGAGCUCUGCAAACAGCAUGCUGCUGUAAGGAUGGAAAUGCCAUCGCCUGAUGAAAAUGGCCAGCCUCCUGUUCUGCAGUUCAAAAACUUCCAUCACAGUGAUAAGAUGCCCAUCGUGGUAUAUUGCGACUUUGAAGAUAUUCUGGAGAAAAUCCAUACAUGUCACCCGAAUCCUGAUGAGCCAUACACGCUGCAGUAUCAAAAGCAUAAAGCAUACAGCUACUGAAUUUAUGUGAAAGCAGAAAACUCCGUCAUUCCUGCACACCUCACUUCUUCACUUCCUUCACAGCCUGAAGUGUAUCGCGGUUGUGACGCAGAAGAUAAAUUCAUAUCCCGCAUUGUGGAGAUUGGACAUGACGUACAGAAAAUAUUUUCUACGUCUGUUCCUAUUACUCUGCUCACACAUGCACAAAACACUUCUUUUCUGCAAGCAAAGUGUUGUUGCUACUGUGGGGGAAAGUUCGGAGGAACUGCAAAGAAAGUUCGUGUUCAUAAUCACUUCACCGGCGAAUUUAUUGGGCCUGCAUGUAAUGACUACAACCUUCUCAGGCGCAGACCAAAAAAGAUGAUUUAGUUCUUCCACAACCUGGCAUACGAUCAGAACUUAAUUAUCAGGAAGUUGGGGUAUGAUACUAAAGAUAUUUUCGUCAUUCCUAAUUCGGAAGAGAAGAUGAUAACUUUUUCCAUGAAGUUGCAUGAUAAGUUCAGCAUUCAGUUUGUCGAUACGUUCCGUUUUAUGAGUCGGGGUCUCGCUUUGCUCUCCGAGUUCUUGCCUGCAGACAAGUUUAUAAGUACUGCUGAGUUUUUCGCUCCUGAUGAGUUGGAGUUGGUAACCCGCAAGGGGGUCUUCCCCUACGACUUUGUGGAUUAUUUUGCUCGGCUGGAUGAUACGAGUCUUCCGCCUAUCGAUGAGUUCUUUAAUAUUCUGACUGAUACUGGUAUUUCCGAGGCGGAUUACGCUCACGCACAAAAUGUCUGGGACAAGUUUCAGUGUGCUACCUUAGGGGAGAAUGCUGACUUGUACCUAAAGACGGAUGUCCUGAUUUUGGCGGACGUAUUCGAGAAUUUUCGCAGUCUUUGCUUGGAAACAUAUAGUUUAGAUCCGUCUCACCACAUUUCUUGUCCUGGUUUCGCUUUCGGCGCGAUGCUUAGAACCACAGGUGUACAGCUAGAGCUACUCACAGAUUAUGAUAUGUACAUGUUUGUGGAGGCUGGUAUUCGUGGAGGUGUAGCGCAAAGCAUUAAACGUCAUUGUGUAGCCAAUAACGCCUACGUACCAGAAACCCACGAUGCUUCCAAGCCAUCCAUAUGCCUAGAGUACAUUGAUGCAAACAACAUGUACGGGUGGGCAAUGUCUCUGCCGCUCCCCAUUCGACAUGUCCAAUGGACAGACACAUCAAUUGAUGUCAUGUCUAUUCCGGAAAAUUCACCUACUGGCUACAUAAUUGAGUGUGAUGUAGAGUACCCUCCCGAGCUCCACGAAAGUCACAAAGACCUGCCAUUUCUUCCCAUAAAUCAAUGUCCUCCCAGCUAAAAACACUGAAAGCUGAUGACAACACUGGAAAAUAAAGAGCACUACAUCGUCCACUACAAAAACCUACAGCAAGCAGUAUCUCAUGGUCUAAAAAUCAUAAGAAUCCAUAAAGUUCUUCAGUUUGAACAGUCGGCAUGGUUGGAGACCUAUAUUCGGCUGAACACCAACAAGCGCAAAGCAGCAGCCAACGAGUUCGAGAAGGAGUUCUUCAUGCUCGCUGUGAACUCAACAUUUGGUAAACUGAUGGAAAACAAGAGGCGGAGGCUCAAAAUGGAGUUGGUGUGCUCUGAGAAGAGAUUUAAGAAGUUGGUGUGUCGUCCGUUCUUCAAGGACCGCACGAUGUAUGAGCCAAACUUGAGUCUUGUCCACCUGAACCAUGAGACCACCAUUUUCGACAAGCCGAUCUAUGCCGGACUCGCAGUACUUGAUCUAUCAAAAACGCUCAUGUACGACUUCCACUAUAAUACUAUGAAACCGAAAUAUCAGGAAAAUAUUCAUCUGGCAUAUAUGGAUACAGACAGCUUUGUGUAUGAGAUUCAGACACAGGACUUCUACCAUGAUCUAAGAGCCGACCCUAAGAUCAUGUCUGAAUUCAGCACCAGCUGCUACCCUCUUGACCACCCAUGCUUCUCCCCCAUCAACAAGAAAGUUGUUGGCAAAUUCAAAGAUGAAUGUGGGGGAGAAGUAAUGAGCGAGUUUGUCAGUCUGCGGGCCAAACUCUAUGCAUACAGGUUUGGUGACAAGGUCGAGAAGAAGAGGGCAUCCAGCAUUGUGUGGUCAAAAACCACAUCACAUUCGGUGAUUACCUGGAUGCCCUGCAGGACCACCGCACAAGGAGGGCAGGUGUUAGAGCCAUACGGUCGAGAGAGCAUGUGCUGUACAGCGAAUACAGCAAUAAGCUAGCCAUAACAUGGGAGGACGAAAACAUUUAAUCUGUGAAGACGGUAUCCGCACGGUCCCUAACGGCUAUAUCGGAGGUGACGAAUAAUUUUUUUUUCUGUAAAUAGUUUUGUUGUAAAUAGUUUGGUAGUUUGGUUGUUGUUUCAAUUCGUUUUAUAGUUUCCAUUUUUUAUUUUAUAGUUUUCAUUUUGUUGUAUAGUUUCCGUUUUUGGUGUAUAAUUUCUGUUUUUUGUUUUAUAGUUUCCGUUUUUGCCGUAUUGUUUCUUUUUUGUUGUAUAGUUUCUGUUUUUGUUGUAUAGUUUUUGCUGUACAGUUUAUGUUUUUGCUUUACAAAAUAUGUUCUUAAUUUAAUAAAUAACAUUUUACCAACAUAUUACUUAUUAUUUUUUAAUUUUUAUAACCUAUAUCCCUCAGGGUACUGAUUUAUUAAUGUCUUAGAGAAUGGUAAAAUGUAAUUAUACAAAGACAUUAAAAAUAUCUGCUUUCAUGCAGCUUUUUAAAUACGAGUACACAAACAUGAGAAGAGAAUAUUACUUGUGAGUUAGGACUCUGAAAAAUUUCUGGUCCGCUAAGAUGGGUUAAUAAUUUUUUUUUUAAUUUAUCAUUACUUUAACUGUCGCAUCCACAACGAUAGUAUUGAUAACAUAUAUUUUAGUUAAAACCUAUAAAUGAUAAGACUUUAAGAAAAAAUGGUGGUUACAACAGCAAAAUGACUGUGGAUUCUGUGGAUUUUAGUCUAUAAGGGUCAUAAUAAUGUUGGUAUGGGAUAGAAACUUGGCCUUACAUACACUGGCGUACUUUAUAAACCUACACCUGAUAAUGACAUCCAUCAGAUAAAAUCAUGAUGGUGGUCUCCACUAAAUAAGAUGGCUGCCUCCGGCAGACAACCAUGGUAUAUAUUUUUUAUUUUAAUAAUAAAUUAUUUUAAAUAAUGCUGUGUAACGAAAAAUUUUAACAGGUAUGAGUGGGGUGUUCGAUGACGAUGUCAUUGUAACAGAGGAGCGGGGUGCUAGAUGGUGUAUUCAUAAUGAAGAUGAGUGGGGUGUUCUUUGCGCAGGUUUUUUAAAUUAAAAUUUUAUUAAUUAAUAUAUUAUUUAAUUUUUAUUUUAAAAUUUUGAUUAUUUAAUUUUUUUAUAAAUGUUAAAUUUUUUGUUCAUUAAAAUCGGAUAAUAAAUAAAGAUUUUCAAGAUGGCAGACGAAACUCGAAAUUGUGGAAUGAUCUAGAAAACAAAAAGGCAGGUAAAAACAAAAUGGCCGACAGGGUCAAAGGUCAAGGUCAAAUCCAAGAUGGCCGCCGGAAGUGACGACAUCCAAGAUGGCCACCGCAUAUCCCCGGAUCCUGACCCAGGAUCCGGUGUCCCCAUACAUACUAUAUUUACCUACUCGCACCGAAGGAAGAGGGGAAAUCACCGCGGCCAUAAGCACCUCGAGCAACACGAACCAAGUCUAGAGGCAGACUUCGGAUCCGAUUUGUCGCUGAACUACAUGCGCUGCAGUUCGCCUGUCGACCUCCUUGCGAAGAGAUAGGAGGGCGACACGCCAGAGUACUUCGGUUCGCUGGUAUUAUGCAUCGGGCUCUCGUGGGAUGGCGACCUGGCGCCAAAACAACUAAGACAGCUGAUCGACGAGUACCUUGAUCACCCAGAAGAAGAAUUUCACCACGAAUUUGUAGUAGUACCUAUACCCACUUCCCCAGGCUUCACCGAAGCACUUAUAUACGUAACAGAGUCUGGCUUCUUGAAAAAACUCUACGAGGUUGAUGACUCCAGGUACAGCAUGGGGAAACUCCUCGCGGCUGUCCGCAUCCCGGUGGAGCCAGAAGACGCGUACAUCUCUUGGGAAAUGUACAGAACUGUGGUAGCUUGCGAAGAGAGAGUCCGGCUGAAGUGCAACCACAGCACUGCUCAGUCGACUCUCUCCAGCGAGACUACGCAGGCCAGCCAGUCCGCUCCAGAGCUGCAGGACUGCAGCACGUAGACGGACCAACCAGCAAGGCUCCGACACACCUCGUGUCAGACGCCCGCCCCAGCCAAGUGGAAACACUCUGACACCCAAACAGCUGUUCUCACGGCUGUGAAAGGUACCAGCACCGUUCCCAAGGACAACACUGCACCAAAACAUCUGCAGACGCCCAGAGCCCGCCCAGUGACGCAGGCCACCCCUUCCAAGAAGAGGGAGGCGGCCACAACUGCGCGGGAACCUCGACUUCAGCCUGCUGAAGAUCGACGCCAGCAGCCUCCGCAACUGAAGAGAGUACCCUGGCACUUUGUCGUCCUCCGGGGCGGCGGAGGGGCCGGGGUGCCGACUGAAGAAGUGGAGUCUGCACUGCGCGAGGCCGGCCACAAGCCGAUCAAGUGCUGGCGCAUCCGCAGCCGGGCAACAGGGCGCAGCUCCCCAGGGCCUGGGAACGCCGAGCUGCAGUCUAUUCCGCGCGGCGCAGUGCUGCAGUUGGCAGAAAUGCUAACUGCAGUUCUGAGCCGCUCAGGUACACAGCGAGCCAGCCGUGGGUCGAGAGGUCUCGUACCCUCCGCCGGCAUAGCCCUUUCUCCCGUUAAAGGGAGGGGGUCAGCGGCCCACGGUCUUAGGAACCUCGCCAAACAGACAACACGUAGAAAAUAUAGUAAAUUAGUCUAGCCAUUGCCCACAAACAAAAAAUUAAAUCAAUACGACAACAACAAAAAAUAAUAAAAUCAAGACAACUUGAGCAGCUAAGGCCAACUGCUCAGCUUAACAUAAUAUUCACCCCCCUUCCCCCUUUAAACUUAAACUUAAAGGGAGGGCUGUACAACACCACGAGUUUAAAGUAAAGUCACCACACGAAAUUAAAUUUAAAUAUUCAAGGCCAAUUGCAUUCACCACUGCUUCGCAGCAUGUUUUAGAAUACAAUAUCAAAAAAGCCAAAACAAAACUUUUAUAGGUCAAACCAGGAGGUUAUGGGUCGCAAAUAGGCGACCUGGGACUCCUAACGGGCCUCGGGGUUCGAUGCCAAGUCGCGACACUCGGGCCCCUAGGCCCACACUGGCGAUGAUGAAAUCCCUGUUAGUCGGACGUCAGUCUGCUUGGGGUUGCUUCAUUAAGAAAUUAUUCUGAGCCAUCAUCUUCUUCUUCAUCAUGAUAUUCAUCAUCAUUCAUUUAAUAGUGAUCUGAAAGUAAAACGUUCUCAUGAACUCAUGUUUGUAUUAAUAUAGGAUAUGCGUGUACGUUAGUAUUUAUAGUAUGUUAUUUAUAUAUCUAUAGUAGGUUAAUAUUUUUAAACAUUUGUAUAGGUUACAAGUAGGCAUUCAUUUAAAUAUGUGGAAGAGUGGAAUUUUGUACACAUAGGGGUAUAUACGAUUGUUUAUGUGUAUGCAUGUUUGUGUAUGUGUUGAGCAUGAAUUAUUGAAGUAUUACUUCCAAAUGUCUUUGGAAAGAAAUUAAUUAGGCUAAACUGGGUUAUCUGAAAAAUGUAUAGAUGAUAGGAAACAAAUAUUAUAUUUUGUAUGUUGAAACGAGGGGUUGCAACAAAAACAUUGGAGAUAAAGUACCUAAGUUUAUCAAUUAGCAGAGUUUCUCACAGAAAUAUUUGUGACGACGAGACCUCCAUGAUUAUAAAGGGCCUAGGAAACAUUUGCUACUGCUUGGUGCUAAUGAACUAUAUCAUUUCGGAAACACUUAUUGGUGUUGUAUCCUCGGGAUAUAGCAUAAUGUACUUAUCCGGUUCAAACACCGACGACAAAGUUUAAGUGACGUUAACACAAAAACUUCAAACAAAUGCAAACCUUUUAAAGUUUUAAAGAAUUCAGUCAUACUUCCAACACAAAGAACACCUAACUUAAAAUUUUAAAUUUACACGUGGUACUUGGUUCUUCCCGCCGUAUUUAAUAACGCGGGUGUUCCAUUAUACAACCAAUCAAAAAUUCUUUUUAAAACUAUUUUUUAAUAGAUGCAAAAUUUUUAAUUACAUAAUUUGGCAAAAAUAAUUUUGUCAUAAGAACAUGAAAGUUUGUAUAUGAUGAUAAUACUGUUACGAACGUGAGCAAGGCCGGGACACGUGCAGGUGCAGAGCUGGCUGGCGACUGCCGCAACAUGAUAUGCGCCGCGCGCGCCUGGAAGAUAACAAGGAUUGUCGCUUUCCCCCCUCCUCCCCACAACUCCCCGCACGGCGCCCUGCCUUUGACACGUAACUGAAACCUGACAGCUGUGGAGUUACGCGAGCCGCCGACACAUAUUUCGAGAGAUUUCUGCCGUCGGGUCAGCGCGGAAUGACGCGACUGGCUCGCAAGUUCUGGAAAUUGCGGCUGAAAGAUAAAACGUGGAUGGCGGCCUCGAGGGAGGGAGUCGGAGUUCAGAGAGAGAGAGAGUUCAGGCGGGAGCCUUCCCGCAGCAGAGCUUCCGGAGCGAUAGUGCCGCGGGUGCGGCAGAGUGGCGAAGUCCUUGGACGAAGAUUCCAGGGCGAAGAGUUCAGUUCCGGGUGAUAGUUUCGCGGGUGCGGCAGAGUCCCGAGCGAAGUUGCGAGCGAGGCGUCGAGCGGAACCUCGGCGAAGUGCGUCGGCGUCGGCGGAGUGCGGCGACGGAGUCCCGCGGCGGAGAUCCACGAGGGGUGCUGCGGCGAUCCACGCGGGGUGCUGCGGCGAGAGGUGUGCCAGAGGUGCGGCCCAGCGAGAUGUGUGGAACGAGUGACUGGGGAAUAGACAUUUCUUUAAGUUUAAUUAAUUAUUUGCCAUUUUAGAAGAUUAUAUGUCAGUGACAUAAGUAGUGGCAAUAAAUAAAACUGUGUAGUGAAAUAAAAUCUUUAAUUGGGCUAUCCUUUACGAACCCGCGGUAAAUCGUAAGAUUUUUGGUGUCAGAAGUGGGAUAGCCCUAAUUUAAAGAAUUUAGAUUUAGUUUAUAUUGUGUUAAAAUUUAAUUAGAUUUUAGAGAUUGGAACAAGUGUUAGGAACUGUAGUUAGUUUUAAGUGUAGUAGUUGGGAAAUUAGUGUGAGUGUUUAGUAGGGGUUUUGGUUAGAUCGUAGAAGAAAUUACAGUGUCGUCAUAAGACAUUAGUGUUAGGCUUGUAGUAUAUGUAAACAAGAAAUAUGGCUGCCGAUGAGCUUAAAAAUGUCCUGGCAUUCUUGGCCGAACUGAAGAGUGGCCAGGAGAAAAUUAAAAUAGGCUGGACGAGAUGAAGAGUGACAGGAAGAAAUGAAAUGAAGAGUAACAGGGAAGAAAUGAAGAAUAGCCAGGAGAAAAUGGAACAUAGGCUGGAAGAGAUGAAGUGUGGCCAGGAAUAAAUGAAGAAUAAAAUUUAUAACAGCCAGGAAGAAAUGAAGAAUAAAAUUGAUAACAUUCAGGAAGAAAUGAAGAUUACAAUUGAUAACUUCCAGGAGAAAAUGGAGAAUAGGCUGGAUGAGAUGCAGAAUAAAAUUGAUAACUGCCAAGAGGAGAUGAAGAAUGAUCUGAAGACAGAGAUAGAGGACACCAAGAAAAACCAAGAAGAGAUGUGAAAUGAAAUAGUUGCUGUACAAGAAGAAAUGAAAAAGAAUAUCAAUGAAAUCAGCAUCCAUUUGGAAGGCAAAGUGCAGUGUUUCGAGCAGCAUCUUGCAGAACAAGAGCAACAUGUAGCAGAACAAGAAGAACUAGUGGCGCAACAUCUGACCCAACUCGAGCAAACCACAGAACAGCUCAAGCAGACCACCGAGCAACAAGUAGCAACUGUAACUGAAGAGUUCCAUCAGAUGAUCAAGGAAGCUGCGUCGGCUACGAAAAGAAGCGGUUAUUCUGGAGAUGUGAAGGUGGAAGGCGCAACAUGUCUCCCAAAAUUCAAGCCACCCACCUUUGAUGGCCAAUCGUCAUGGGCUGUCUACAGGCGACAGUUUGAGGCAGCUGCUGAAGUAAAUGGGUGAGACGAUGAAGAAAAGGCUACAGCACUCGUCUUAGCCCUGCGAGGAUCUCCACUAGAGCUGCUGCAGACCAUACCAGUUACAGAUCAGAAAGAAUAUAGGGUAUUAUUAGAAGCCCUUGAGUUAAGGUAUGGCGACCGACACAUGGGCGAGGUGUACAGAACAGCCCUGAAGACACGUCAACAGAGAUCUUCGGAAACCCUCCAAGAGUUCGAAGCCGACAUCGAGCGACUCGUGGACCUCGCCUACCCAGAAGCACCAAAAGAGUUCCGCCAGCAGCUAGCCACUAGUGCUUUUAUAGUUGGGCUAAGAGAUGUGGAGGUUCAGCAAACUCUUCGGUUUGCCCACCACAAAAAAACAUUCGCGAUGCUCUUGUUCAUGCCCUGGAAAUCAAAGCUGCCUGCAUUACCUCAAGAAACAUGAGUAUGAGAGCGAGACAGGCCGUGAUAGAACUUUACCACCAAGCGAAUUGCCGCUCAGAUACUAACGAAGAGAUUAUACUUGGAACACUAAGGAAGCUGUUGAAUGGAUCGCAGUUUCGGAAAACAAGAGGAAGACAGGGGUGCUUCGUCUGCAAAGAACUAGGACACAUCCGGCGCGAGUGUCCGAAUCGUGGUAAGAAGCCCAAGGGAGAAGUACAUCGCUGUAAAACAACGAUUGAACAGGAGAAGAGUCUACCGGACCGACGAAGACAAGGUCGUCCACGAUGUUACGCGUGUCGAGAAAGAGGGCACGUCCAACGUGACUGUCCGAAUCGUGUGAAGAAACUGAAGGAGGAAGGACAUCGAUGUGACAGGGGGAUUAAGGAGGGUGGUAACUUACUGGUUAAAGGAACGGGAAGUCGCCUACGGUGUUUUGCUUCUGCGUGCCGACAAGGGUAUUCUCAUGGGAGGUGCCCAGAAUGGGAACUUGUUCAGCGGGGUUGCCUGAUGGAAAAGAAAGCACCACAGCAGCAGGUGCGGAAGUGACCCAUAGUCACCGCAAAGCUGGCAUAUGGACCCGAAAAGUCGGAGGAUGGCCGCGAUGUUACAUCUGUCAGGAAGUGGGCCAUAUUCAAUACACCUGCCCGCUGCGUAGGAUAGCUUCGCCGCAUGGCUCACAAGAGCCGCAGUGUUACCUGUUCGGGACGAACAGGUUUAAGGAGGGGGCAAUGUUACGAACGUGAGCAAGACCGGGACGCGUGCAGGUGCAGAGCUGGCUGGCGACUGCCGCAACAUGAUAUGCGCCGCGCGCGCCUGGAAGAUAACAAGGAUUGUCGCUUUCCCCCCUCCUCCCCACAACUCCCCGCACGGCGCCCUGCCUUUGACACGUAACUGAAACCUGACAGCUGUGGAGUUACGCGAGCCGCCGACACAUAUUUCGAGAGAUUUCUGCCGUCGGGUCAGCGCGGAAUGACGCAACUGGCUCGCAAGUUCUGGAAAUUGCGGCUGAUAGAUAAAACGUGGACAGCGGCCUCGAGGGAGUGAGUCGGAGUUCAGAGAGAGAGAGAGUUCAGGCGGGAGCCUUCCCGCGCAGAGCUUCUGGGGCGAUAGUGCCGCGGGUGCGGCAGAGUGGCGAAGUCCUUGGACGAAGAUUCCAGGGCGAAGAGUUCAGUUCCGGGUGAUAGUUUCGCGGGUGCGGCAGAGUCCCGAGCGAAGUUGCGAGCGAGGCGUCGAGCGGAACCUCGGCGAAGUGCGUCGGCGUCGGCGGAGUGCGGCGACGGAGUCCCGCGGCGGAGAUCCACGAGGGGUGCUGCGGCGAUCCACGCGGGGUGCUGCGGCGAGAGGUGUGCCAGAGGUGCGGCCCAGCGAGAUGUGUGGAACGAGUGACUGGGGAAUAGACAUUUCUUUAAGUUUAAUUAAUUAUUUGCCAUUUUAGAAGAUUAUAUGUCAGUGACAUAAGUAGUGGCAAUAAAUAAAACUGUGUAGUGAAAUAAAAUCUUUAAUUGGGCUAUCCUUUACGAACCCGCGGUAAAUCGUAAGAUUUUUGGUGUCAGAAGUGGGAUAGCCCUAAUUUAAAGAAUUUAGAUUUAGUUUAUAUUGUGUUAAAAUUUAAUUAGAUUUUAGAGAUUGGAACAAGUGUUAGGAACUGUAGUUAGUUUUAAGUGUAGUAGUUGGGAAAUUAGUGUGAGUGUUUAGUAGGGGUUUUGGUUAGAUCGUAGAAGAAAUUACAGUGUCGUCAUAAGACAUUAGUGUUAGGCUUGUAGUAUAUGUAAACAAGAAAUAUGGCUGCCGAUGAGCUUAAAAAUGUCCUGGCAUUCUUGGCCGAACUGAAGAGUGGCCAGGAGAAAAUUAAAAUAGGCUGGACGAGAUGAAGAGUGACAGGAAGAAA